GGUAGGGGACGGGCGGCGGUGGAUGGAUGGAAGAGGUAGCCCUAGACAGACUAGGUGGGUGGUUGGUGUAGGUCCAGACAGACUAGGUGGGUGGUUGGUGUAGGUCUGACUUCGACGGAGGAGGAAGGAGCGCAAACUUGGGUUCCUCAGGGACGCAGCACGAGGAGGGAAUGGGCUCAGACGGUGCAUGUCGCGGGGUGCGGCCGCCCGACGUCGUCGUCGAGGGGUAGGGGCUGAGGGCUCGUGGAGGUGGGAGCAGCAGGGUCCUGGGCGGUACCUUUGGGGUAGCGGAGCGGUUCAUGGAGCAACCUCUCGCGGAGGUACCUCGGCUCCUGGAGGACGUGCGACGGAGGCCGGGCCACGUGAAACGGAGACGGCAUAGGUCGUGACGUGGCUGCUCGCGGUGACGGCUUCGGCGACGCAGGGGAGCGGUAGCUCGUAGUAGUCUGGCGGUGUGGAGAGGAAGCAGAGGAGGAAGGAGACCGAGAGAGUAGAGAGAGAAUGGACUGAGGAAAGGGAGAGACAAAACGGAUGUCUAAGCCGGGCGGACGGCGGAGCUAGGCCAACUGACGUAGCGGGUCUAGACGGCGGAAGGCAGGAAGCGGCGGGCAUCGAGACGCAGCGCGUCUCCUGCUUGCGGUGUCGGCGGAGCACAACUGGGCGGUCGUGGUUCUGGGUCGCGCGCGAACCCGACGGAGAGGAGGUCGCGACUCCGGGUCCGGAGAGGUCGGUCUAGACGGUCGGGGCGUCCGGGUAGAAGAGGAGAGCCGGGCUACACUCGUCGGGUUCGAGGGGACGUGACAACCCGGCGGAUUCUAAGCCGGGCCCUGAACAUAAAAAAGGCGUAUCGCUAAAAGGAUAAAAAAAUCUCUGUUGGUCAAAAUGUUUUUCCAGGGAUUUGAAGUACGUAUAUUAUUUAAUUAUUGGUACGUAGCCUAAUUUUGUUUGAAUUAUACUUUCAACGAAUCUUAAAACAGAUCAAAUUAUUAUACGGUGAAAGUCCGUACAAUUUAUACAAAUUAUACAACGAACAAAUUUAAACAGGUUUACGGUACAAUUUUACGAAAUUAAGUAUUGAUUUAUUGGCAUUGAAACUUAAAUUAUUUAAAAUAUACAUUUACCCCACCUUUUUACGGAUCAAAUUGUACCACUGGAAUGAAACUUACAAAUUAUUGAGAUUUUAAUACAAAUACCGUCUUGUCAUGGUUUGGAUUAAAUACGCAUACCCCUAAAUGGCCUUAACAACAAGCAACGAAGCCCGGAGUAAAUUUGAACGGAUCAAUCCAUCAAAACAACACGAAGUGGGGAACGGUACAAUUAGUUGUAAAUUAUAAAAACCCAUGUGUUUGCCCUCUCUUGAUUUAUUAACAACACCACAAAGUAGUUAUACGUUGAGCAACGUAUAACUCGAGGUAAAUUAAACAUCAAAACGAACACGUGAAACGGUACGGUACGUAUAAAUUUGGCCUGUACGUAGUAUGAACCAACACGUAGUACAGUACGAAUACACCACCAACAAAUGAAACAACAAACGAAAGAAAGGCCACAUGAAGAAGAGCCAUUAGGCCAUUGUAGCGUAAACACUCCUAGGCAAGCUGAUGCAGGCGAACAGAAGAAGUACCUGAGUAAGAAGAAGGAACGCCCUAGAGUCAAACGUCCACGGCUACAAUGGCACGUCCACUGCGUUGGUUCGAGUCCUCCUCGAGCUACUUCUAGAACAGGUAACACAACAAAGCAAAGUCAGCUAGUCAUCACCUCGGGUCAGCCCUGCUAGCCCCUAGACACAUCGUAAACCCCAUCAGAAGAAAAUAAAACCAAGGCAUCAACCUGGAACACACAUAGACCUACUACAUUACAAAAUAAGUACAUUAACACACUUCACCGCUAAAAUUCGGUUGAUACAUAGAGAAAGGGAAUACAUAAUGUACCCAACACACUUCUAAUGGAGUGAACGCUGUAACGAAAGUUACGCCAAUACGGAGAUUCAGCACGAAGCUGUGCACCCUCUAUAUCAGCGUAUCUCCCGCAAUGUUCAACCAUAGUCUCGGAAGGGGUUGAAUCCUCGGGGGACGAACUAGCUUAGUGAACG
rnacentral:rRNA from 1 species